rnacentral:rRNA from 1 species
AACCUCCGCAAUGUGAGAAAUCGCGACGGGGGGAUCCCAAGUGCCAUUCUUAACGGGAUGGCUUUUCAUUAGUGUAAAGAGCUUUUGGAAUAAGAGCUGGGCAAGACCGGUGCCAGCCGCCGCGGUAACACCGGCAGCUCUAGUGGUAACAAUUUUUAUUGGGCCUAAAGCGUCCGUAGCCGGUUUAAUAAGUCUCUGGUGAAAUCCUGUAGCUUAACUGUGGGAAUUGCUGGAGAUACUAUUAGACUUGAGAUCGGGAGAGGUUAGAGGUACUCCCAGGGUAGAGGUGAAAUUCUGUAAUCCUGGGAGGACCGCCUGUUGCGAAGGCGUCUAACUGGAACGGUUCUGACGGUGAGGGACGAAAGUUAGGGGCGCGAACCGGAUUAGAUACCCGGGUAGUCCUAACUGUAAACGAUGCGGACUUGGUGUUGGGUGGCUUUGAGCUGCUCCAGUGCCGAAGGGAAGCUGUUAAGUCCGCCGCCUGGGAAGUACGGUCGCAAGACUGAAACUUAAAGGAAUU